rnacentral:rRNA from 1 species
AGUGGCGGACGGGUGAGUAACGCGUGAGAAUCUGCCUUGGGGUCGGGGACAACCACUGGAAACGGUGGCUAAUACCGGAUAAGCCGAUUGGUGAAAGAUUUAUUGCCCGAAGAGGAGCUCGCGUCUGAUUAGCUAGUUGGUGAGGUAAGAGCUCACCAAGGCAGCGAUCAGUAGCUGGUCUGAGAGGACGAUCAGCCACACUGGGACUGAGACACGGCCCAGACUCCUACGGGAGGCAGCAGUGGGGAAUUUUCCGCAAUGGGCGAAAGCCUGACGGAGCAAGACCGCGUGAGGGAGGAAGGCUCUUGGGUUGUAAACCUCUUUUCUCAGGGAAGAAGCUCUGACGGUACCUGAGGAAUCAGCCUCGGCUAACUCCGUGCCAACAGCCGCGGUAAUACGGAGGAGGCAAGCGUUAUCCGGAAUUAUUGGGCGUAAAGCGUCCGCAGGUGGCGAUUCAAGUCUGCUGUCAAAGCACGGGGCUUAACUCCGUAAAGGCAGUGGAAACUGAAUAGCUAGAGUGCCGUAGGGGUAGAGGGAAUUCCCGGUGUAGCGGUGAAAUGCGUAGAGAUCGGGAAGAACAUCGGUGGCGAAAGCGCUCUACUGGACGGCAACUGACACUCAGGGACGAAAGCUAGGGGAGCGAAUGGGAUUAGAUACCCC